AGCUUGUAUCUUGAGAGCUUGGGAAGAUAGGUGCGACAUCUUGGGACUCUCUGCAAUGUCUUUAGUGUCCUUAAAAUGCAACAGCCUUGAUAGAGAAAGAGCCGUUGUAGAGUUAAAGGUCCAAGUGUGAAGGCUUCUAGAAUAGGAAAGUAGAGGUGCAAGAGGAUUCGCCUAAUCCUCUGGAUGCUAGUGCAUGGUGUGGCAUCUUGGACUGUCUCUAGAUGAUAAAUAAGUUCUCCAGGUCGCCAAACAUAAUCCUCGAAGAAACCAAAUAAGGAAAGUUCCAUUUUUGGUAACACAUGGCCCUCGGGUAAGGCCAAAUGAGCAAGUACUAAACCAACUCGAACCAGGGGUAUUUUGGCUCGAUCAAUAUGCUCCAAAUAGUUGAUUUGAUGGUGAAUAAUGAAGCCGAGAUCAAAUGGACGAGUGAAUUCUCCAAACUGCGGCUUAGCUCGCCAAUGA
rnacentral:lncRNA from 1 species